rnacentral:RNase_P_RNA from 1 species
GACGAUCGCCGGUCGUCAUUGCGACGGGAGGAAAGUCCGAGCUCCAAAGGACAGGAUGCUGGGUAACACCCAGUCGGGGCGACCCGAAGGCAAGUGCAACAGAGAGUAGACCGCCACCCACGGGUUCGGUGCAGCCGUUGGAACACACGGCGGCCGGGUGUUCAGUAAUGAUCACGGUAAGGCUGAAAGGGUGCGGUAAGAGCGCACCGGCGACCUUGGUGACAAAGUCGGCCAGGUAAACCCCAUCCGGAGCAAGGCCAAAUAGAGAAGCAUUUUGGGGUAGUCCGCUCCUCGCUUCUGGGUGUGCCGCUUGAGUCCACCGGUAACGGCGGAUCUAGAUGAAUGAUCGUCAUCGGAGCAAGGGAGACCGAGCACCGAAACAGAACUCGGCUUAUGGUG